AAUCAACGCCGGCGGCGUGCCUAACACAUGCAAGUCGAACGAGAAAGUGGAGCAAUCCAUGAGUAAAGUGGCGACCGGGUGAGUAACACGUGACUAACCUACCUUCAAGUGGGGGAUAACCUCGGGAAACCGGGGCUAAUACCGCAUAAUAUCUUUGGGGCGGAAGAACCGAAGAUCAAAGGAGCAAUUCGCUGGAAGAGGGGGUCGCGGCUGAUUAGUUAGUUGGCGGGGUAAUGGCCCACCAAGACAGAGAUCGGUAGCCGGCCUGAGAGGGCGCACGGCCACACUGGAACU
rnacentral:rRNA from 1 species